UUGUUGUUGUUGCUAUUGUUGUUGUUCUUGUUCUUGUUGUCGUCGUCAUCGUCGUCUUCGUUGUUGUUGUUGUUUUUCUUGUUGUUCUUGUUGUUGUUGUUGUUGUAGUCAUCGUCGUCGUCGCCGUCGUUGUUUUGUUGUUGCUCUUUUUGUUGUAGUUGUUAUCGUUGUUGUCAUUGUUGUUGUUGUCAUUGUCGUUGUUGUUGUUGUUGUUGUUGUUGUU
rnacentral:lncRNA from 1 species